UUAUGGCUCAGGAUGAACGCUAGCGACAGGCUUAACACAUGCAAGUCGAGGGGCAGCAUAAAAGUAGCAAUACUUGGUGGCGACCGGCGCACGGGUGAGUAACGCGUAUGCAACCUACCUAUCAGAGGGGAAUAACCCGGCGAAAGUCGGACUAAUACCGCAUAAAACAGGGGCACCGCAUGGUGAUAUUUGUUAAAGAAAUUCGCUGAUAGAUGGGCAUGCGUUCCAUUAGGUAGUUGGUGAGGUAACGGCUCACCAAGCCGACGAUGGAUAGGGGAACUGAGAGGUUGGUCCCCCACACUGGUACUGAGACACGGACCAGACUCCUACGGGAGGCAGCAGUGAGGAAUAUUGGUCAAUGGGCGGGAGCCUGAACCAGCCAAGUCCGCGUGAAGGAAGAAGGGUCUAUGGUUCGUAAACUUCUUUUGCAGGGGAAUAAAGUGCAGGACGUGUCCUGUUUUGUAUGUACCCUGAGAAUAAGGAUCGGCUAACUCCGUGCCAGCCGCCGC
rnacentral:rRNA from 1 species